rnacentral:tRNA from 1 species
UUUUUUAUGGUGUAUAUAGCACAUUGGUUUUUCAUGCCAGAGGAGGAAGUGUUUCCUGAC